rnacentral:rRNA from 1 species
GACGUAGGGGACGAGCGUUGUCCGGAUUCAUUGGGCGUAAAGCGCGCGUAGGCGGUUUGGUAAGUCGGAUGUGAAAACCCGAGGCUCAACCUCGGGCCUGCAGUGGGUACGGGCAAACUAGAGUGCGGUAGGGGAGAAUGGAAUUCCUGGUGUAGCGGUGGAAUGCGCAGAUAUCAGGAGGAACACCGAUGGCGAAGGCAGUUCUCUGGGCCGUAACUGACGCUGAGGAGCGAAAGCGUGGGGAGCGAACAGG